rnacentral:rRNA from 1 species
UACGGGGGGAGCAAGCGUUGUUCGGAUUUACUGGGCGUAAAGGGCGCGUAGGCGGCGCAACAAGUCACUUGUGAAAUCUCCGGGCUUAACCCGGAGCGGCCAAGUGAUACUGUCGUGCUAGAGUGCGGGAAGGGGCAACUGGAAUUCUCGGUGUAGCGGUGAAAUGCGUAGAUAUCGAGAGGAACACCUGCGGCGAAGGCGGGUUGCUGGGCUGACACUGACGCUGAUGCGCGAAAGCUAGGGGAGCGAACG